UGUUGUUUUUGUUUUCUUCCAUUAGUUAUGGCUUAUCCUGGAACCCAAACUUAAAUGGUCACUUGUUGAGUGCUUCGGAUGAUCAUACCAUAUGCCUCUGGGACGUGAAUGCUACACAGCGCCAAGAGAGAGUAAUAGAGGCAAUGACAAUAUUCACUGGCCAUACCUCUGUUGUUGAGGAUGUUGCCUGGCAUUUACUUCAUGAAAGUUUAUUUGGUUCAGUUGCUGAUGAUCAGAAGUUAAUGAUGUAAGUAAAACACAUGUUGUUU
rnacentral:sRNA from 1 species